rnacentral:rRNA from 1 species
AGUGGCGGACGGGUGAGUAACGCGUGAGAAUCUGCCUUGGGGUCGGGGACAACCACUGGAAACGGUGGCUAAUACCGGAUAAGCCGAUUGGUGAAAGAUUUAUUGCCCGAAGAGGAGCUCGCGUCUGAUUAGCUAGUUGGUGAGGUAAGAGCUCACCAAGGCAGCGAUCAGUAGCUGGUCUGAGAGGACGAUCAGCCACACUGGGACUGAGACACGGCCCAGACUCCUACGGGAGGCAGCAGUGGGGAAUUUUCCGCAAUGGGCGAAAGCCUGACGGAGCAAGACCGCGUGAGGGAGGAAGGCUCUUGGGUUGUAAACCUCUUUUCUCAGGGAAGAAGCUCUGACGGUACCUGAGGAAUCAGCCUCGGCUAACUCCGUGCCAGCAGCCGCGGUAAUACGGAGGAGGCAAGCGUUAUCCGGAAUUAUUGGGCGUAAAGCGUCCGCAGGUGGCGAUUCAAGUCUGCUGUCAAAGCACGGGGCUUAACUCCGUAAAGGCAGUGGAAACUGAAUAGCUAGAGUGCCGUAGGGGUAGAGGGAAUUCCCGGUGUAGCGGUGACAUGCGUAGAGAUCGGGAAGAACAUCGGUGGCGAAAGCGCUCUACUGGACGGCAACUGACACUCAGGGACGAAAGCUAGGGGAGCGAAUGGGAUUAGAUACCCC